ACGUGGGGUGCAAGCGUAUCCGGAUUAUUGGGCGUAAAGAGUUCGUAGGCGUUUUGCUAAGUUUCGUUUGAAAGCCCGAGGCUCAACUUCGGACCCGGACGAAAAACUGACAGAAUCGAGUCAUCUAGGGGGUACUGGAACUCAUAGUGUAGCAGUGAAAUGCGUUGAUAUUAUGAGGAACACCAAGGGCGAAGGCAGGUACCUGGGGGUUGACUGACGCUGAGGAACGAAAGCUAGGGGAGCGAAAGGGAUUAGAGACCCCUGUAGUCCUAGCCGUAAACGAUGUCCGCUUGAUCUUCGGGAUUUUUACGAGGGUCGGAGCUAACGCAUGAAGCGGACCGCCUGGGGAGUACGACCGCAAGGUUAAAACUCAAAGGAAUUGACGGGGAGGCGCACAACCAGGGGAGCAUGUGGUUCAAUUCGAUACGAAGCGAAAGACCUCACCCAGAUUUGACAUAACACCGUUUAGUCCUGAGGAAACUCGGGAUGAUCCGCCAAAAGUGGAUGGUAUUACAGCUGCUGCAUGACUGUCGUCAGCUCGUGCCGUGGGGUGUCUACUUAAGUGUAGAAACGAGCGCAACCCUUAUCCGAUGUUCAAUAGUCUUCGGAAACUGCCACGCGUAUAGCGAGGAGGAAGGAGGGGAUGACGUCAAGUCAGCAUGGCGCUUAUAUCUGGGGGCCACACACAUCCUACAAUGGGAAGGUACAAUGGGUUGCCAAGCCGCAAGGCGGAGCUAAUCCCUGUAAAACUUCCCUCAGUUCAGAUCGGGGUCUGCAACUCGACCCCGUGAAGCCGGACUUGGUAGUAAUCGCGAAUCAG
rnacentral:rRNA from 1 species